rnacentral:rRNA from 1 species
GGGUUGUGAGGUUAAGCGACUAAGCGUACACGGUGGAUGCCCUGGCAGUCAGAGGCGAUGAAGGACGUGCUAAUCUGCGAUAAGCGUCGGUAAGGUGAUAUGAACCGUUAUAACCGGCGAUUUCCGAAUGGGGAAACCCAGUGUGUUUCGACACACUAUCAUUAACUGAAUCCAUAGGUUAAUGAGGCGAACCGGGGGAACUGAAACAUCUAAGUACCCCGAGGAAAAGAAAUCAACCGAGAUUCCCCCAGUAGCGGCGAGCGAACGGGGAGCAGCCCAGAGCCUGAAUCAGUAUGUGUGUUAGUGGAAGCGUCUGGAAAGGCGCGCGAUACAGGGUGACAGCCCCGUACACAAAAAUGCACAUAUUGUGAGCUCGAUGAGUAGGGCGGGACACGUGGUAUCCUGUCUGAAUAUGGGGGGACCAUCCUCCAAGGCUAAAUACUCCUGACUGACCGAUAGUGAACCAGUACCGUGAGGGAAAGGCGAAAAGAACCCCGGCGAGGGGAGUGAAAAAGAACCUGAAACCGUGUACGUACAAGCAGUGGGAGCACGCUUAGGCGUGUGACUGCGUACCUUUUGUAUAAUGGGUCAGCGACUUAUAUUCUGUAGCAAGGUUAACCGAAUAGGGGAGCCGAAGGGAAACCGAGUCUUAACUGGGCGUUAAGUUGCAGGGUAUAGACCCGAAACCCGGUGAUCUAGCCAUGGGCAGGUUGAAGGUUGGGUAACACUAACUGGAGGACCGAACCGACUAAUGUUGAAAAAUUAGCGGAUGACUUGUGGCUGGGGGUGAAAGGCCAAUCAAACCGGGAGAUAGCUGGUUCUCCCCGAAAGCUAUUUAGGUAGCGCCUCGUGAAUUCAUCUCCGGGGGUAGAGCACUGUUUCGGCAAGGGGGUCAUCCCGACUUACCAACCCGAUGCAAACUGCGAAUACCGGAGAAUGUUAUCACGGGAGACACACGGCGGGUGCUAACGUCCGUCGUGAAGAGGGAAACAACCCAGACCGCCAGCUAAGGUCCCAAAGUCAUGGUUAAGUGGGAAACGAUGUGGGAAGGCCCAGACAGCCAGGAUGUUGGCUUAGAAGCAGCCAUCAUUUAAAGAAAGCGUAAUAGCUCACUGGUCGAGUCGGCCUGCGCGGAAGAUGUAACGGGGCUAAACCAUGCACCGAAGCUGCGGCAGCGACACUAUGUGUUGUUGGGUAGGGGAGCGUUCUGUAAGCCUGUGAAGGUGUGCUGUGAGGCAUGCUGGAGGUAUCAGAAGUGCGAAUGCUGACAUAAGUAACGAUAAAGCGGGUGAAAAGCCCGCUCGCCGGAAGACCAAGGGUUCCUGUCCAACGUUAAUCGGGGCAGGGUGAGUCGACCCCUAAGGCGAGGCCGAAAGGCGUAGUCGAUGGGAAACAGGUUAAUAUUCCUGUACUUGGUGUUACUGCGAAGGGGGGACGGAGAAGGCUAUGUUGGCCGGGCGACGGUUGUCCCGGUUUAAGCGUGUAGGCUGGUUUUCCAGGCAAAUCCGGAAAAUCAAGGCUGAGGCGUGAUGACGAGGCACUACGGUGCUGAAGCAACAAAUGCCCUGCUUCCAGGAAAAGCCUCUAAGCAUCAGGUAACAUCAAAUCGUACCCCAAACCGACACAGGUGGUCAGGUAGAGAAUACCAAGGCGCUUGAGAGAACUCGGGUGAAGGAACUAGGCAAAAUGGUGCCGUAACUUCGGGAGAAGGCACGCUGAUAUGUAGGUGAAGUCCCUCGCGGAUGGAGCUGAAAUCAGUCGAAGAUACCAGCUGGCUGCAACUGUUUAUUAAAAACAAAGCACUGUGCAAACACGAAAGUGGACGUAUACGGUGUGACGCCUGCCCGGUGCCGGAAGGUUAAUUGAUGGGGUUAGCCGCAAGGCGAAGCUCUUGAUCGAAGCCCCGGUAAACGGCGGCCGUAACUAUAACGGUCCUAAGGUAGCGAAAUUCCUUGUCGGGUAAGUUCCGACCUGCACGAAUGGCGUAAUGAUGGCCAGGCUGUCUCCACCCGAGACUCAGUGAAAUUGAACUCGCUGUGAAGAUGCAGUGUACCCGCGGCAAGACGGAAAGACCCCGUGAACCUUUACUAUAGCUUGACACUGAACAUUGAGCCUUGAUGUGUAGGAUAGGUGGGAGGCUUUGAAGUGUGGACGCCAGUCUGCAUGGAGCCGACCUUGAAAUACCACCCUUUAAUGUUUGAUGUUCUAACGUUGACCCGUAAUCCGGGUUGCGGACAGUGUCUGGUGGGUAGUUUGACUGGGGCGGUCUCCUCCUAAAGAGUAACGGAGGAGCACGAAGGUUGGCUAAUCCUGGUCGGACAUCAGGAGGUUAGUGCAAUGGCAUAAGCCAGCUUGACUGCGAGCGUGACGGCGCGAGCAGGUGCGAAAGCAGGUCAUAGUGAUCCGGUGGUUCUGAAUGGAAGGGCCAUCGCUCAACGGAUAAAAGGUACUCCGGGGAUAACAGGCUGAUACCGCCCAAGAGUUCAUAUCGACGGCGGUGUUUGGCACCUCGAUGUCGGCUCAUCACAUCCUGGGGCUGAAGUAGGUCCCAAGGGUAUGGCUGUUCGCCAUUUAAAGUGGUACGCGAGCUGGGUUUAGAACGUCGUGAGACAGUUCGGUCCCUAUCUGCCGUGGGCGCUGGAGAACUGAGGGGGGCUGCUCCUAGUACGAGAGGACCGGAGUGGACGCAUCACUGGUGUUCGGGUUGUCAUGCCAAUGGCACUGCCCGGUAGCUAAAUGCGGAAGAGAUAAGUGCUGAAAGCAUCUAAGCACGAAACUUGCCCCGAGAUGAGUUCUCCCUGAC